rnacentral:rRNA from 1 species
CAGCCGCCGCGGUAAUACGAAGGGGGCUAGCGUUGUCCGGAAUUAUUGGGCGUAAAGGGCUCGCAGGCGGUUUCUUAAGUCUGAUGUGAAAGCCCCCGGCUCAACCGGGGAGGGUCAUUGGAAACUGGGAAACUUGAGUGCAGAAGAGGAGAGUGGAAUUCCACGUGUAGCGGUGAAAUGCGUAGAGAUGUGGAGGAACACCAGUGGCGAAGGCGACUCUCUGGUCUGUAACUGACGCUGAGGAGCGAAAGCGUGGGGAGCGAACAGGAUUAGAUACCCGUGUAGUCCCUGUCUCUUAUAC